AUUGAACGCUGGCGGCAGGCCUAACACAUGCAAGUCGAGCGGAUGAAGGGAGCUUGCUCCUGGAUUUAGCGGCGGACGGGUGAGUAAUGCCUAGGAAUCUGCCUGGUAGUGUGGGAUAACGUCCGGAAACGGGCGCUAAUACCGCAUACGUCCUGAGGGAGAAAGUGUGGGAUCUUCGGACCUCACGCUAUCAGAUGAGCCUAUGUCGGAUUAGCUAGUUGGUGGGGUAAAGGCCUACCAAGGCGACGAUCCGUAGCUGGUCUGAGAGGAUGAUCAGUCACACUGGAACUGAGACACGGUCCAGACUCCUACGGGAGGCAGCAGUGGGGAAUAUUGGACAAUGGGCGCAAGCCUGAUCCAGCCAUGCCGCGUGUGUGAAGAAGGUCUUCGGAUUGUAAAGCACUUUUGGUGGGGAGGAAAAGCAGUAAGUUAAUACCUUGCUGUUCUGACGUUACCAAAAGAAUAAGCACCGGCUAACUUCGUG
rnacentral:rRNA from 1 species